GGAGGCGAAUGGGGCCUGGUGGCCCUCCUGGUCUUCAAAACCAGUGCGCCGAUGAUGAAUCGGUGGGCGGGUUCGAUUCCCGACCGCCUCCG
rnacentral:tRNA from 1 species